GAUCAUCGAGUAAUGGCCGUGAGAUAUGCAAGAUUCGUCACUGCAUGCGAUGAAUACUCGACGAUUAGAGGAAUUUAAGGGAGAUUUCCAUUUGAUUGAAUUAACUUACACCCAUUAUAAACAUCAUGUUGUUACAAUUUAUAUUUUUGCUUCAAAUAGGUCAAAUUGAAACAUGAACGUACUCAAAUAUGACCUGUCAAUCGUGUCUGGUUGUCUGGUAUGCACCACAGACUCUAAUGCAGAAAAAGCCUAAUUCAUAGACAAGAAAAUGUGGUCAAACUGGUCAAUCAAACUUUGAGAGAGCAGCUUUAACAGAGACUAUAUAUGAUAUAUUUUGUUUCUGAGCCAAUGGUGUCGCAUAGGUGAAAUGGUGAUCAUUCAAUGUACAAUGGAAGGAGUGGUGGGUCCACACUGUCCAAAAGUCAUCCCAUGGUGGACACAAUAUCCUGCAGCUUAUUGAAGACCCAGCCAAGUCCGUGACCCAGCCAAUACGAUGGAGUUCUUUAAGAAAUUGUUGAAGCCAAUACCAGGACUGACCAAGUACCACCAUUUUUGGAUCACGCGUAGACAUCCAGGGACAGAGUUUGUGCGGGGAUAUUUGACAAUCCAGAUGUUGCCCUGUCUGCAGUGGUUAAAUGCCAUAGAGAAUUAAAAUCAAGAACCUUCAUGCAAAAAGGUCUUUGCACCUGUCCUGUUAGAGGAGAUCACUCCUCUGUGCAAUAACAGUCCAUCAUGUUCCAAGCCAACAGUUUCCAAACCAUCUAGUGGUGUUAGAAAUAGUGUACUGACAUAGUUACACAUCUUUUGCACUGAUAAACCAAUUCAGUCAUUAAUAUGGCCCAUGUUGCUGUUUUGAUGUGAUGAAAUGUAGAAAAAGAAAAAAAUAAGCAAAAUGUAUCAAGGUUAUUUCAAGUAAAGGUUCAAUAAUGGCAGAAUGUUUCAACUUUAAAGAAAAUAAUUUGAUUGCUUUUAGGCUUGGUAUUGGUGACUUUAAGAUCAUUUAGAACAAUGCUUUUAUUGUUGUGACAGUUUUUGUUUUAAAGAAGUAGGCCAAAUGGUAAGAGAUUUGUUCCAGAGGAUUAAUGCAGCAGGCUGUUCUUGUUUUUUUUUAUUUAAACCAGUACUUUUAGCCAAAAAUAACUUUGCCCAUUCAACUAUCCCUGAUUAUGUAUGAUUUCAUGUUAUGCUAUUUCUUUUUGCAUUUCUUGUUGUUGUGAAGUUGCCAUAUAAGAAUUUGUCAUAAUAAGGCAUUAAGUUUACAUGAGCACAUGUUGUAAACAAGUCUUUGUUUUUAUUUGUUUGUUGUUCAAAGGAUGUAUGAAAUAUUAAAUAACCAAUAUUUCCAUAUUGCUUUAAGUUGACAAUAUGUACUAAAUUUUACAUAAUGUUAGAAGUAAAAUAUUAAUAAGAACUAAGAAAUAAAAUUAAUAAUAAGAUGUGUACAGAUGUUUAAAAAAUCAAACCUUAUCAUUUUGUAGGGCUUCUAAAACAAUUUAAUUUCUCUUGCCACUCUUUUAUCAGUCUGUAAAUGCUAUUGGGUUAAAAAAAUAUAUACUUACCGUUGGAAACUUUAAAGAGAUGAUGAAGUAUAAACUAAGCUACUGGUUUACAUUUAUUUUAAUAGUAUUGAUUUUAUCAAGUUUGGCAAAGUCAUAUUAUUAUUCAAAUAUAUGUCAGAAUAAUAGCCAACCUUUUUGAGGGUUAUGAAAAUGGGGGUGCAAAUCACACAUUGUCAGAUGAGUUAGUUAUAGCUUAUUGAUGAUGCGUUGGUAUCAUUUUUGUCCACACAAUCACCGUAAGUUCAUAGAUAUUAUGAUAGUUGUCAACUUAUUAUUUUAAGUUAAAUAAACUUCAAUCUCAUUGGAGUGAAAGUUUGCCUUUUACCAAAAUAAUACCCUGUUCCAAACUUGAAGAUGCAAUUUUAAAUGAUCAGCUUAAUUUUAGUACAUGUUUCACAUGUUUGAAGUCUCAUUCAUUCCUGUAUUUACUAGUAUAUUAUUGCUGUUUUUGAAAUACAAUUGUUAUUUUAGGGACAUGAAUUUAUUUGCAUUUUGCCCUUUAUAUUAUAAGUAAUUUAUGACUAAAAAAUGAAUUUUCAUUGAAAAAAACAACAUUGUUUUGUACAAAUUAUAAUGAACACCAUUGCCAUGGCAAUCAUUAUGUCUCCCCCUAUCUGGGGGAGACAUAUUGUUUUUGCCCUGUCCGUCAGUCCGGUAGUCCGAUAGUCCGGUAGUCCGGUAGUCCGUCAGUCCGUCAGUCCGUCCGUACGUCACACUUCGUUUCCGAUCGAUAACUGGAAAACCGCAUGACCUAGGAUCACCAAACUUGGUAGGGAGGUUGGUCAUGAGGUGUAGAAGAUCCCUAUUGUUUUUGGGGUCACUAGGUCAAAGGUCAAGGUCGCGGCGACCCCCAAUGUAAAAAACAUUUCCGCUCAAUAUCUUGAGAAUGGUUUGACCUAGGUUCACCAAACUUGGUAGGGAGGUUGGUCGUGAGGUGUAGAGGAUCCCUAUUGUUUUUUGGGGUCACUAGGUCAAAGGUCAAGGUCGCGGCGACCCCCAAUGUAAAAAACAUUUCCGCUCAAUAUCUUGAGAAUGGUUUGACCUAGGUUCACCAAACUUGGUAGGGAGGUUGGUCGUGAGGUGUAGAGGAUCCCUAUUGUUUUUGGGGUCACUAGGUCAAAGGUCAAGGUCGCGGCGACCCCCAAUGUAAAAAACAUUUCCGCUCAAUAUCUUGAGAAUGGUUUGACCUAGGUUCACCAAACUUGGUAGGGAGGUUGGUCGUGAGGUGUAGAGGAUCCCUUUUGUUUUUGGGGUCACUAGGUCAAAGGUCAAGGUCGCGGCGACCCCCAAUAUAAAAAACAUUUCUGCUCAAAAUCUUGAGAACGGUUUGACCUAGGUUCACCAAACUUGGUAGGGAGGUUGGUCAUGAGGUGUAGAAGAUCCCUAUUGUUUUUGGGGUCACUAGGUCAAAGGUCAAGGUCGCGGCGACCCCCAAUGUAAAAAACAUUUCCGCUCAAUAUCUUGAGAAUGGUUUGACCUAGGUUCACCAAACUUGGUAGGGAGGUUGGUCGUGAGGUGUAGAGGAUCCCUAUUGUUUUUGGGGUCACUAGGUCAAAGGUCAAGGUCGCGGCGACCCCCAAUGUAAAAAACAUUUCCGCUCAAUAUCUUGAGAAUGGUUUGACCUAGGUUCACCAAACUUGGUAGGGAGGUUGGUCGUGAGGUGUAUAGGAUCCCUAUUGUUUUUGGGGUCACUAGGUCAAAGGUCAAGGUCGCGGCGACCCCCAAUAUAAAAAACAUUUCUGCUCAAAAUCUUGAGAACGGUUUGACCUAGGUUCACCAAACUUGGUAGGGAGGUUGGUCAUGAGGUGUAGAAGAUCCCUAUUGUUUUUGGGGUCACUAGGUCAAAGGUCAAGGUCGCGGCGACCCCCAAUGUAAAAAACAUUUCCGCUCAAUAUCUUGAGAAUGGUUUGACCUAGGUUCACCAAACUUGGUAGGGAGGUUGAUCAUGAGGUUUAGAAAACUCCUAUGUUUUGGGGGGUCACAAGGUCAAAGGUCAACGUCGCUGUGACCUCUAAUGUAAAAAAAUAUUUCCGUGCAAUAUCAGGAGAAUGCUUUGAUCUAGGUUCACCAAACUUUGAAGUGAGGUUGGUCAUGAUGUCUAGUUGAUUUUGCAAUCAGUUGGUCAAAGGUCAAGGUCACUGACCUUGAGGUGAAGAACCGGUUUCUGCUCAAUAACUCAAGAACGUUUACACCCAGGAACUUCAUACUUGGUAUGCCAGUUAGUCAUGACUAGUUGAUGGCCCCUAUUGAUUUUGGGAUCCAUCAUUGAUUAUUUCUCACCUACGACCACACAAUGGGGGAGACAUGCGCUUUUUCGAAAAAGCAAUCUCUAGUUUUAUAUGUUGUCACAAGAGGGUAACACUUGUAACUUAUCAUUUUUUGUUUAAUAUACUUACAUAUUGUUGGAGUGAAAGAUUACCUUUCACCAAAAUGAUGCCUUGUUUCAAACUUAAAUAUAAAAGGUUAAAUGAUCUAUUUUAUCCUUAGUUUGUGUUUACAAUGUUCGAAGUCUCCCUCAUUAUUUUAUUAACUAGUAUAAUAAUGAGAUGCUUGAUACACUGUUGUUACCUAAGGAAGAUGAACUUAUAAUAAAUAAUUAAUGACAAAAAAUGAUUUUUUGAAGAAAUAAAACACAUUGUAUUUUUUUUAGGAAAACCAUUGCCAUAGCAACCAUAUUUAUAUUGUCACCAGAGGGUAGCAAUUGUAAUGCUUUUUAUAUUAAGGUUAAAAUAGUGUGUCUUUAAAUGUAGCACUAAUUGAUCUACUUGUAAAAUUGUUUAUAUAUUUACUGUAUAUAUAUGUUGAUAAUCAUUAAGAAGUAAACAUUAUCAAGAAACACA